rnacentral:tRNA from 1 species
GGUGUCGUAGCUCAGUAGGUCAGAGCGCUGCCCUGUCACGGCAGAGGUCGCGGGUUCGAGUCCCGUCGACGCCG